rfam:Zootermopsis nevadensis contig25653, whole genome shotgun sequence.
GCCACGGUGGUCUAGCGGUUAGAACGCUGGUCUUGUAAUCCUGGGGUCUCGGGUUCGAUUCCCGGCGGUGCCC